AGCGGCGCUCCCGCAGCGUCACGGUCCGGCGGCGGCGCUGCGCAUGGCCGGGCCACACGGCACCGGCACCGGCACACCACGGUAUCCGCACACGGCACCGACACCGGCACACCACGGCAUCGGCACACGGCACCGCCGCAGUUCUGGUAGCAGCCACCGCCGUGGGGCUCGGCGAGCCAUUCUCCUUCGCGGAAACCUGAAAGCCCCGCCGGACGUGCCUGAGGGAAUGCGCACGGAAGCAGCAGGAAACGGAAUAAAAGCAUCAUCGCGGCAUUCGUCAAUACUGGAUAAAAGUAUCACCAGUCAGCGGGGAAAACAAAACCCUUCCUAAAAUUCCAAACUAAGUAUUUCCACGUGUCCUCUUCAAUGGGAAUAGUUUUAAAGCAAGUACUUAAAAAAACAUGUUUAAAGUAUUCAUAGGUAAUUGUCGCCGCAGCUGCGUUAUAAUGCGAUGUUUAAAAGACGCUUUAGCGGCGUCACAAGUUUAAACUCGUGAAUAUAUGUCCUUUUUGCCUUUCAACAUAUUGGAAUUCCCCUAUUCUUUGUGGGAAGACAUUUUUUAAAAGCUGGUCAUUAGAAGAGUUGGAAAGGCUGCGUUCUGGUAUCCACACCUCUGUUUUAAAAUUACUAGAAGAGAACACUAUCUGGUGCCCACGCUGCCACUUACGGAACAGAUGACGUGUCAGACUGUCGGAGAGACAAGCCUUGUGAUCCCGCAGGAAGUCUCUGGUAACAAACCUGCAAUGCUUGCCUGAUCGGAGAGUGGCAUAUAACAAGAAGGCAUCAUCUUCAGAGCUUCACAAAACAAAUGGAAAAGACAGACAUCAUUCACAAGGCAGUAAGUAGUUGCAGGAAGUGAUUCAAAUGCUGAUCAAGAUUUAUUCAUCAGCAACACCGAAAAUUCCCACCACUACUCUAGUUCCCUGUAAAAUAAAAAAUUGCUUACCACAGGGUACCAAAAGCUAGAGUGCAAUAAAAAUUAAUUGCAUGCUA